rnacentral:rRNA from 1 species
UACGAAGGGGGGCUAGCGUUGUUCGGAAUUACUGGGCGUAAAGCGCACGUAGGCGGGUCGUUAAGUCAGGGGUGAAAUCCCAGAGCUCAACUCUGGAACUGCCUUUGAUACUGGCGCUCGAGCCGGAAGAGGUUAGUGGAAUUCCCAGUGUAGACGGUGAAAUUCGUAGAUAUUAGGGAAGAACACCAGUGGCUGGAAGGGCGGA